CAUGGCCUUCAACCUUUGUACGUGACUAGUACCUUAACUGUAUUACUACUUGCAUCAUGUCAAUGCAUUGUGUGUUAACAAUUCAUUCUGUUUUCUUGUUUGUAGAUUCAAAAGACUAAUGGAUGAGUAUAUGGGUGCAUGGCAAGUAUAUUGCAAUGAUGAUGUUCAUGUUCCAGUUCAUGAUGAAGAUGAUGAUCGAUGCUUUCAGUUUUAGUUAAGUAGUAGGGAUGACGUUCCUCUUGGUUGUUGUUCGUCGGUUCAAUUUUAGUUAAGUUCUAGGGAUGUUGAUGGAUGCUUU
rnacentral:lncRNA from 1 species